UGAAGGUACUCAGAGAAAUGUCCGACAACAGCGACCAAAUAAAAAAAAUGACAGCUACAAAAUGACAUAAGUUUCAACUGAGAGACUCGGUAAAAAAUAACUGAGCUUUCAGUAAAAAACAAGGUUUUUAGCUGAGUACUCGGUAAUUAAAUUACCGAGUACCAAUAAUUUACCGGAAACUAGGGUUUACUGAGUAGCUCAGUGAAAUAAGUACUGAAGUACGGUACUUUCAGCGAUUUUUUACCGUAGCUCAGUAUAUUUCCUAAAUUUAACUGACAGUUCAGUAAAAUUUGAUUUUUACAGGGUAAUUUCGGUAAAUUUUUUACCGAGUAUUGCGUCCCUGAUUUAGUGUGUGCGUUUCGCCGUGAAGGUUCACAAAUCAAAAGAGGGCAGAUCUUGAAGCGCUGACUAUGUGGAGAUAAAAAGUAUAUCUCUUCUUCGAAAUUCCUCAAUUUGUUGUUAUCCCAGCUUCAUCUCGGUGCAACUGCACUUGCAUGCCCGAUCCUGUCGCUGACCUGCCCCAUCAACGCCGUAAACCGGUUCAGCAAGCCAAGCAACUAGCAAAAGGUACAACAUUCCGUCAGCAAAAGCCGACUGCAACUGAAUCCCAUCAUCAUCAUCAACAGCCUGGUCUGGUCUUGGCCGGGGCUAUAAAUACUGGAACCGGCCUUUUGAGGCGCAUAUUACAGAUGACCUUGAAUUGGGAGCAGCACCAGCAGUGGUGGCAACAAGUUGGUUGACGAUCGAAUCCUCGCCGGCGAAACAUCACAAGGAGCAACUCCGACAACCGGGCUUGGGCUUGUUCUCGACAAGGUUCGAAUGAAGUGUUGCUCUUGAUUGGUAAGUUAGGGUGGGUUUUUAAAUUGUUUUAUGUGUUCACAGUUCAAAACACAUUUUCUAAGAUGUUUUGUGUAAACAUUUCAUAAAAAUUAGUAUAUCUUUUUCUUCAUUAUUCAAUUCAUGCUUAUUGUUUGUUCAUAUCAAUAUACAAUUUUAUAACCUUCAUGCAAUGUGUAGUGGUUUCGAGUUCUUUUCAUAUAUCGAAGGUUAUUUCGUAACUUUUUUUCUUCAGUAGAUUAACUCGAUUUCUCAAAAACCCGCAAACUCUGUUCCCAACUUUGAAUUAAUCAGCUGUGGAAAGGUAGUCCACAUCUCAGCUUAGAAUAGUAACUUCACAAUGUAAUGUAACAACGAAAUAAAUGAAAAAAAGAAUUCCUAGCUGAAGACUAAUCAGGCCGUUGCAAAUAUUUAUUAAAGUUUAUGUCUCUCGAAUUCAAAACAUUUUUUAACAAGCCCAAACAUGCUAAAUAUGAUU